AGAAACUUCGUAGAAAAGUCAUCAACCGACACAUUUAAAACAAAACACAUUCCAUUUGGCAAAUCAGUCAAAAAUUUCAGUGUUCACACAACAAAAAUCCAAAAAAAACAGAUAACAGCUAUGGUGUCCGGGUAGACAAUGGGCCUUGCUCAGAGUAUCGUCUUUCUACUCUCCGCUUUGUUAACUUUGUUGGCGAGUGCCAACGGCUGCACUAGAAAAGUCUAUAUCGCCUGUAGAAAACCAGCGCCCUGUGGGAAGUAAUUUCGGAACGCUAUGGCUAGAUUUGAUCUGAGCUUGCUCUUUGCUAUUCUGUUAACCAUGUUUUCUAUAAUCGCUAUGGGGAGUGCCUGCUGUAAGAAAAAUAUACCUUGUUCCGGCCGAGCACCCUGUCGCCGAGGGCCCUAUAGAAACUGAGAAUAAAUAUUUAUCGUUAUUGUCACAAACGCUAUAACAAAGUUCGAAGGUAUAACGACACUCGUAAAUGAAUAAAAUUAUCUCGUUCUGGACUUUUGGAUUCAGAGACGUCAUGACCUACAUUAGAGACUCGCACAGCAGGACAUCUAAGAUGGGAUUGUGAAUUUUAAAUUCAACACCAAAUAUACCGUACAGAACACAUUUUUGGCUAUUAUUAUUGAUGUAAAAGUAGACUUGGAAUAUUGUCGUUCCGGCAUAUGAUGAAAAUUUGGCGUCACCUUAUAUUUGCAGUGGCUGUAUUGUUAGAGAUUCUACAAAUUAUAAACGCCUGCGGAAGAAGAAACGUCGUUUGCAAACCUGAUAACCCGCCUUGUCGGAAAUAAUAUAAUUUAUCUCGUCAUCGUGCUAUGGACAAAGCGGUGGUCCAGGAACUCAUAGUGCUUUUGGUAACUCUUCUGCUGUCCUAUCUCGAGAGCUGCUACGGGUGCACUCGCCACACGUACAUCGAUUGUGACCCACGUAACCCGUUGUGUGAAAAGAAAGAAAAAUGAACUAUCUAAAUGAGUUUGUUCUCGUGUUUCUCCACAUCGCCGUCUCCAUACUGAAUCUGUCUCAAGGAUGUCGUAAUAAGAAACACUGCAAAGACCCGAACUGCUUUCCCUGCAACCAUUUUGGUGGGCCCAAAGUUCGUUCCAAGCUCGAGAUAAAGUGAAUACGCCAAACGAUGCAGUUGAAGAAGUUGUUUGGUGUAUUAUUCCUGAUGCUGGUGUACGUCCUGUCGUCUGUGGACUGCUGCAAGCGACGGCAGAACUGCCAGAAGUAUUGUCUGCCCUGCAAGUACAAGGGACCUAUCAUUGAAGUACUGUAUCCUAAAGAGAAAGAGUGGCGGCUAUUGCAAAAAUAAUUAUACAGCGCUAAACGAGAUAUUUGUCAAUACGAUUAAUCGUAUAGAGCUAUUAUAUAUUUAAUUACUUUACUUUGGUUCGAGAAAUUAAAAAAAAAAAUUAAAGUACCGUAAAUGUAAAAAAAUAUUUGUGAACCAAAAAAAAAAAUAUAUAUAUAUAAUUUUCAUAUAAGAAAUUUUUAAGUCCAUUUUGUUUAACAGAUAAAUGAAAUAAAUAACUAUAGUAAU